rnacentral:rRNA from 1 species
CGACUCAGGUGGUCAGGUAGAGAAUACCGAGGCGUUCGGGUGAACUAUGGUUAAGGAACUCGGCAAAAUGCCCCCGUAACUUCGGGAGAAGGGGGGCCAUGUCCGGUGAUGAGCUUCGCGCUCUGAGCUGGGGGUGGCCGCAGAGACCAGCGAGAAGCGACUGUUUACUAAAAACACAGGUCCGUGCGAAGCCGUAAGGCGAUGUAUACGGACUGACGCCUG